CCGCCAACUGAAGCAGAAGUGUCGCGCCUUUUUUGUCCGUGAUUCGUUUCUUGUUGAAGUUGCCAAGUUUGCUUAACAAACGUAGUGUGUGCGUUAGGGUCAGUUUUGUGCGUUUCUCGAAGAAAUUGUCCAGCCAACCGCUACGUUUGUCUCAGGCAACUGCGUCACACCGCCAUCGUUGGGACAGAAGAUUCCCGGCAUCCGUCGCCGGAGGGGGCCAACCCGUUUACACGUUGGUCCCAAUUCCAAUCGUGGUCGCCAAUUGCCACGCAUCGUCGCUGAGAGCGAGUGCCGAGCGGCCGACGACCCCCCCCCCCUGUGGGUGAAUUGGCCACGUCACCAACGGCCAUUCAUCGCUGCGAACAUCGAUCGCUUUCCGCCGUCUACCAGGAGCGCAGCAGUACCGGUAGGCGAACAACAGUCGGUGAGUCAAGCGAUCUCUUUUUUAUCGAGUGGGGCGUCCAGUGAGGACGCCUCGGAGGAUUUUUUUGUGCCGACCGUAGGUCGAUGACUGACUGAGUCAGGACGUUUGGACGUGUCCAUAAAAUUUUGAGGUUGGAUGUGGAACUUAUAAAACGUGCGCACGUAACGUAAUUCGUGAACGUCCCAUCCAACCUCUAUUGUCAGACACCCGGGUGUGAAGCUUCUCGUCGUUCGUCACAUCGUCG